ensembl:lncRNA
GUGAGAGGCCCAGAACUGAACACAGACAGUGUGUCCUGAUGCAUGGCUGGGAGACAGCUUCCCCUUGUGUAUCUCCACCCUGUCCGCCCCUCUGUUCAGAAGUAAGAGAAGUUUCACAUUUUGCUCCACAGUACCUAUGGGGAAAUAGGAGCUCCUUCAUGACAGCAGUGGGGUUUGACUUCACAACCCUGGGCUGCCUAAAAUAAGUAGAGGGAGGUGAAUGGGUCUUCCUGAUCAAAGUUUUUCACCAUCAUUUUCAUCUUCAGCUUUUGAAUUAUUCUCUCCCCGUCAGAUGUGCUCUCAUUUAUUCAUUGCCAAUUUCUUCAUCAAAUACUGCUUGGUCUCCAGCUUGUUCAUGAGCAAACCCUGGUGUACACCACAGUCCUCACAGGAGAGACUUCUCAGCAUGAGUCACACAGCUGCUGACUGAGCAGCAUGCACAGCUAACCAAGGCAACACGAGGUGCCAGCUCAGUAGGUUUUCUCCCAGUAUACGACUUAAGCCAGCAAUUAAGCAUUCUUAACUAAAACUGUAGCCUUCUCUGAAGGUUCAUUCUAAUAUGAUUUGCUCACACAGAGGUUUUGGUAAAAAAAAAGCAUCUGAAACAUGAUUUAACAGAAAUUUGUUGUCAGAUUACAACUUGUUUUUAAGGAAAAUCUUAUCACUGUUCUUUAACUUGUGUUUUCUCAGAAGAACCUCACUUGUUAAGGUCUCAUACCCUUUUCUUGCAGUGCGUUGCUGGAUUUUUUUUUCCUUCAGAAAAUGCAGGCAACAUUAAGGCAUCCCUUAUUUGAAACAGCAGUUCAAAGAAGGAAUGAAACGAGAAUUAGAAAAAUAACCUGUAUAAAAACAUUAGCUGUCCUAUUUUAGGAGAUAAUUAGCUGUAGCAAAGUUUCCCUCACUUAUUUUUCCUUGGUGAGAAAAUAAACUACCUUGUCAUUGAGGUUUUCAUAAAAUGCUGUUGUUUGCAACAUUUGCCACAAACAAAUUAACCCAAACAUUUCUAGUGCAUGACUUACACUAGUAAUUUUGCUACUAUUUUCAUUUCUGCAUCUGAAAAACAAAAUGCUUUCAGUUAUCACAUAACGAAGGAAAAAGAAAAAAAAAAAAAGAAUCACAUAUUUGACUGCCAAGGAGUAUGUAUGAAAAAAUUUAUACCAAAAA